GAAUGAAUUAGCCCUGAAAAUGGAUGGCGCUGAAGCGGGUAGCCGACACCACGCCGUCUGGACAAAGUGGUUUUUUCAGAUGAGUAGGAGGGCGUGGCGGUUGUAUCGAAGCGUGGAUGCGAAUCUGCGUGGAACAGCCGCUAGUGCAGAUCUUGGUGGUAGUAGCAAAUAUUCAAGCGAGAUCCUUGAAGGGCGAAGCGGGGAAGGGUUCCACGCGAACAUUGAUUGGGCGUGGGUGAGUCGUUCCUAAGCCGCGUGGCAAUAGCUAAUUACCGGCGAAAGGGAAGCAGGUUGACAUUCCUGCACACGGAUGUGGAGACGGCGACGAUACAUGAGGCGAUCACGCUGGCGGUGGCGCUGGGCAGAGUUGUCUUUUCUGUUUGACCAUUGAAUACUUGCUGUGUGGAAUCCGCUUGUCGGGAGAAACACGCAGGUACGGGCAGAGCGCCGGGGCUUUUCCGGCGUCCAGCUCGCCACCGACGGCCCUUGAAAAAUUGCCUGCUGGACAACAUUUCGGUGUUGUGAGAUCCACGCCGUGGCGUACCGAUAACCGCAUCAGGUCCCCAAGGUGAACAGCCUCUGCUCAGUAUGAACAAUGCAGGUAAGGGAAGUCGGCAAAUUGGACCCGUAACUUUGGGAAAAGGGUUGGCUCUAGUGCUGCGUGGGAGUAGUUGUCGGCUGUUGGCGCUGUUGGAGAUGCGUGCAUGGCGCGUUCCGCAAGGGAUGUGCUGCGCUGCGUUUCUGGCGGUGCUGCUCCGACGACGCCCACAGCAUGCAGCAGACUAGAACUGCAACGGGCAAAGGGAAUCCGACUGUUUAAUUAAAACAAAG
rnacentral:rRNA from 1 species